rnacentral:rRNA from 1 species
GCAAGGUCGAGCGGAUGAGAAGAGCUUGCUCUUCGAUUCAGCGGCGGACGGGUGAGUAAUGCCUAGGAAUCUGCCUGGUAGUGGGGGACAACGUUUCGAAAGGAACGCUAAUACCGCAUACGUCCUACGGGAGAAAGCAGGGGACCUUCGGGCCUUGCGCUAUCAGAUGAGCCUAGGUCGGAUUAGCUAGUUGGUGAGGUAAUGGCUCACCAAGGCGACGAUCCGUAACUGGUCUGAGAGGAUGAUCAGUCACACUGGAACUGAGACACGGUCCAGACUCCUACGGGAGGCAGCAGUGGGGAAUAUUGGACAAUGGGCGAAAGCCUGAUCCAGCCAUGCCGCGUGUGUGAAGAAGGUCUUCGGAUUGUAAAGCACUUUAAGUUGGGAGGAAGGGCAUUAACCUAAUACGUUGGUGUCUUGACGUUACCGACAGAAUAAGCACCGGCUAACUCUGUGCCAGCAGCCGCGGUAAUACAGAGGGUGGAAGCGUUAAUCGGAAUUACUGGGCGUAAAGCGCGCGGAGGUGGUUCGUUAAGUUGAAUGUGAAAUCCCCGGGCUCAACCUGGGAACUGCAUCCAAAACUGGCGAGCUAGAGUAUGGUAGAGGGUGGUGGAAUUUCCUGUGUAGGGGUGAAAUGCGUAUAUAUAAGAAGGAACACCAGUGGCAAAGGCGAGCACCUGGACUGAGUUUGCCCUGACGUGUUAACGCCUGGGGAGCAGACACGAUCAGAUGGCCUGGUAGCCCCACCGUGACCAUGUCAACUAGACAUUGUUACCCUGAGCUCAGAGUGUCGCAGCUACCGCAUCAAAUGACCGCCUGGGAGUUUGGACGCAGGUCCAAGGUCAGAUCAGUGAGUGUCGCCGCGAACGGAGACCUGUGGUUUAUUUCUAGCAUCUAUUGAACUUACAGGCGUCCCUCGAUGACCUGGAUACUGCAAGAUGCAUCGGGACUUAUGAACGUGUGCUGGCUGCCACAGUUAUGGCAGAGUCUUGCUUAAUCUGAGUAUCCAGCCUGACCCUCUUAUCACCCGUAAUGGGGGGUCAGGGAACCGCCUGUGAAACUCCCGAGGUGCGACCGACGAAGGAGCCGGGCCGUUGACCCGGUGCGCAUGA